GCGUUUGGAGGCUGGGCCAGGGCAAUCUUUAAUUUGAGGCUAGUCGGACCACAUAGUGAGACUCUGUGUCAAAAAACUAAAAGACAGUAAAAUAAUUGUGGACGAGGGGCGGGGCGAUGGGUCAGUGGGUCAGACUUAGCACCCACAAAGCCCUGGCUUCUCUGCAUAAACCAGGUGCGAUGGUUCACACCUCUCAUCCCAGCCCUGCGGAGGGGGGAGGCAGGAAGAUCAGGAAUUCAAGGUCAUCCUUGGCUCACAGGGGUUUUGAAGCCACCCUGGGCUACAUAACACCCGAUCCCGCUUCAAAAAACCAGAAACUCGCAUUUAAUCCCAGCACUCUGGGAGCAGGAGGGCAGCUAGCCUGAUCUGCCAUAGAGACAGCCGCUGUCCCCCAAAAGGUGGGGCGCUGUCUUAUAAAACUGGCUUUGGCUUAAGUUAGGAUGAGGGGAUGUGGUUUGAGGACAGACAUUUGGAAGACACAUGCUGAGGGAUGCAGGUUUCAGAGACGAUGUCUCGAGGCCCCCAGCCAGGACCACCUACCCCACAGCUCCGGCUCAGCCCUACCGACCUCGGCUCCUGCCCGCCCUGUGGUCCAUGCCCUAUCCCGAAACCCGCAGCAAGAGGCAGGCGCCAGGGCCAAGACUGGGGCAAAAGUGACCAGCGCCUGCUCCAGGCCGUGGAGAACAACGAUGCCGCCAGAGUAGUUUCGUUGAUCGCCCAUAAGGGGCUGGUGCCCACAAAACUGGACCCCGAGGGCAAGUCUGCGUUUCACUUAGCUGCCAUGAGGGGCGCCGCGGGCUGUCUGGAGGUGAUGCUGGCUCAAGGCUCAGACGUCAUGAGUACAGACGGAGCAGGUUACAACGCCCUUCACCUGGCAGCCAAGUAUGGGCACCCUGAGUGCCUGAAGCAACUCUUGGAGGCUUCCUGCAUGGUGGACAUUGAGGACAGCAGUGGGUGGACAGCUCUUCACCAUGCAGCGGCUGGCGGCUGUCUGUCCUGCUCACAGCUGCUCUGCUCUUUCAAGGCACACAUGAACCCGCGGGAUCGGUCGGGUGCCACGCCCCUCAUCAUAGCAGCUCAGAUGUGUCACACGGAUCUGUGCCGUCUCCUUCUACAGCAGGGGGCUGCAGCAAAUGACCAGGACCUGCAAGGCAGGACAGCUUUGAUGCUGGCAUGUGAGGGAGGCAGCCCCGAGACGGUUGAAGUACUCCUGCAGGGUGGAGCCCAGCCGGGCAUCACUGAUGUACUGGGCCAGGACGCCGCUCACUACGGAGCCCUGACUGGGGACAAAUCCAUCUUGCAGCUUCUACAGGAGUCUGCGCAGCACGCUUCGCCUCCCAGUGCCUCUCUAGAGGAAGACUCCGGAGAGGCCUCGUCUCAGAACUCCGUGUCCAGCCAUGAGAAGCGAGGGGCCCCCAAGAAGCGCAAGGCACCCCAGCCUCCAGCCAGCAUGCCUGUUCCCGACGAUCGGGACGCCUAUGAGGAGAUUGUGCGCCUGCGCCAAGAGCGAGGCCGGCUCCUGCAGAAGAUCAGGGGCCUGGAGCAGCACGAGGAGCGGAGGAGAAGGGAGCCCCUGGAAGCAGAGGCCAGCUCAGUGCGCAGCCUGGAGAGGCAGGUGCGGGAGCUGCAGCAGCUGCUGGCGGAGAGGCAGGAGGAGAAGGAGAGCCUGGGCCGGGAGGUGGAGAGCCUGCAGAGCCGCCUGUCCCUGCUGGAGAACGAGAGAGAGAACACCAGUUACGAUGUGGCCACCCUGCAGGAUGAGGAGGCUGAGAUGCCCGGCUCCCCAGGCACUGACACGUUGCUGUCAAAGCACCUGCGCGGCCCGGCCGAGGAGCUGGUGGCUUCCCUGCAGGAGCAGGUGGCUCAGCUCACCAGGCAGAACCAGGAGCUGCUGGAGAAGGUCCAGAUUCUUGAGGAGUUUGAGAAGGACGAGGUGCAGAUGGCGGGGGACAGUCAGCCGGAGGCGGUUCCUCUGCUGUUGUACGACCUCCUGCGGGCAGAGCUUGAGCAGCUCCGGCAGCAGCACGCCGACGCCAUGCACACACUGCAGCAGCGGCAGGAGGUGACCGGGGGCCACGCGGGAGCAGAGACAGCACAUACAGAGAGCAGGGACAAGGGGACCUCCACCCAGAAUGGCCCCAGCGUCCCGGAGGUCAACGGCACCACGUAUCCAGAAACCACAGCAAAUGGCACUGCACUCCACACAGGAGGCCCCGUGGGUGUCGGGAGCUCAGAAGCCAGUCAUUCGGAGGCGGCGCUCACGGAGUCUGAGGCUACGGGGAAAGGUGGAGUGGCAGCCGAUGCCGUGGACACUAGAACCACUGUGAUCCAGGCCCUGGACACGAAAGCUGUAGGUGACAACGCUGAAAGCGAGCUGGUGGCCGCGGAAAGCACAGGAGGGAGAGAGAAUCCAGGAGUGGAGGCUGACGGGGCGCGUGUGGUGCCCGAGGGGCUCGCGGGUACAGGGAUUACAGACGUGGCGGCCACGGGAGCAGAGGCCACGGAAUUGCGGGACACCGGAGUCCAGGCCACGGGGGCAGAGACCACGGCAGCGAAGGCCACGGAAUUGCGGGACACCGCAGUCCAGGCCACGGGGGCAGAGGCCAUGGCAGUGAAGACCGCAGGAGUGCAGGCUACUGUGGCCGAGGUCACAGGAGUGAAGGUCAUAGGGGUGCAGGCCACGGAGACCGGGGCCAUCGGAGUCAAGGCCACUGGAGCCGAAGCCACCGGGGCGCAGGCCACUGUGACAGAGGGUAAGAGAGGCGAGGCUACGGGAGCGCGGGCCACCGCGAUGGAGACCAAUGGAGCCGAAGCCACCCGCACCGAGGGCCCCUGCGCUGCGGUCCUGCACCCGGGGGCGGCGGCGGCGGCGCUGCAGGCCGAGCUGGAGGCCCGGAUCCUCGGCCUGGAAGAGGCGCUGCGCCGGCGCGAGUGGGAGGCGGCAGCCGAGCUGGAGGCUGCCAGGGGCCUCUUGGCGGAGGCGGAGGCGGAGGCGACCCAGGGGCGGAACCGCGAACUGGAGGCGCUGCGGGAGCUGCUGGCCACGGCCACGGCCACAGGCGAGCACGCACGCGCGGAGGCGGCCGAGUUGCGCCGAGCGCUUUCGGCUUCCGAGGCUCGGGUUGCAGAGCUGAGCUCCGCCCACGCCGCCGCCCGCGAGGAGAUGGAGCGCAUGCGCGGGACCUGGGUGCCUGCGGACGAGCACGAGCGGGCUCUAGGCGCGCUGCGCGAUCACGUGACCCGGCUGCAGGCGCAGCUGGCGGAGCUGGCGCGCAGGCACGAGAGGACCAGCGCGGAGGUUUUCCAGGUGCAGCGUGAGGCACUGUUUAUGAAGAGCGAGAGGCACGCGGCCGAGGCCCAGCUGGCCACGGCUGAGCAGCAGCUCCGAGGGCUUCGCGCAGAGGCGGAGAGGGCACGCCAGGCCCAGAGCCGUGCCCAGGAGGCCCUGGACAAGGCCAAGGAGAAGGACAGGAAGAUCACAGAACUGUCCAAAGAAGUCUUCACACUGAAGGAGUCUCUCAAGGCACAGCAGGCAGCCCCUGCCAGCUCCCAGGAGGAGGAGGCCCUGCGAGGCCAGAUGACAGCUUUGCAGCAGCGGAUGGAGGAGGUGGCCCGGGAGCACGGUGCUGUGGUGGCUUUAUACCGCUCUCAUCUCCUGUGUGCCAUUCAGGGUGAUGAAUGGACUCAUCCUACACUGGGAGACCAGCCUGGGACCAAUGGUUCCCAGCUGCUCCAUCAGACAUGGCUCCCAUCUGAUAUGCUGCUGUGGCACAACCGUCCACCCAUGAGUGCAAGCCCACUGAUUCCCUACAGAUGCCCUUGCCCCUAGAUAGCAGGAAGUACAUUGAAGAAUACAACACCUACAUUCCCAAGAGGUUGGGUGAGUGAUUUUUGAUCAUUUAGUGCCUUAUGGAUAUUUGUCAUUGUUUAGGAGGGUUGGUUACAACUUGUCAUUCCUAAUGAUCAGGAAAAUAGAUGAACAAAGAAGAUUUAGAUUCAGAGUUCUUGUUUAAAAGAAAAAGAUAUAGAAAUAGGAUAAAAAGGUAGAUUACUGAAUCUACUUUUUUUGUUUGUUUGUUUUUUUGAGACAGGGUUUCUCUGUGUAGCUUUAGAGCCCAUCCUCGAACUUGCUCUGUAGACCAGGCUGGCCUCAAACUCACAGAGAUCAGCCUGCCUCUGCCUCCCGAGUACUGGGCUUAAAGGUGAGUGCCACCAAUGCCUGGCCUGAAUCUACUUUUAAGUCAAAAGAGCAACUAUUAGUUUUAAAUAUUUUACAUUGGCUUGGAUAUUUGUUUAUUGAUACAAAAUUGGGAUUAUUUUGUUAUAACAUACUGUACAUCCAUUUCUAAUCUUGUUCAAGGUAUUGUAUGUAUACAGAUCAUUUAACAAUGUAAUGUAAAUUUUUAGCCCUUGAAAGUUAUUACUACCAACUGCUUAGGAUAAAAAGAAAUGCAGGUUAGUAAUUAGCCACCUAUUACAAGUGAACUUGUAGGUACAUUAGAUAUGUUUUCAAGGUCAAACAGAUAUAUUUUAGAAAGGAAGGUCAUCUUCAAACACUCCAGAGAGCUACAGAAUAUGGUAUUUAAGAUGUUUCAUAACAUAGGUUCUUUUCUUUUUUAUGAUGAGACAUGUUUGCUCCUGGAAGGACCAAUCUACUUCAGAGAAGAUGAUGGGCAUCAAAGAACCCCACAUGGAGCUUACUUUCUUUGUGGCAAACGUUAUCCACUGGGCAAGAAGGUGCUCAUACCUCGACUGCUGACAAUAUGCUGUCCUAAUUGGAUAAGGACACACAUACACACACACACCGGACUGCCAAACUUUGCAAAGACAAGCUGAAAUUUCACGAGAACAUCAAUGAUCAAGAAAUGCUUGUCCUAGCUCGUGGACCUCACAGACUCUAGACCAUCAGCUGUGGAGCCUGCAUGUGACCAAACCUCUGCAUGUGGGUGACAGUCGUGUAGCCUGGUGUGUUUGAGGGACCCUGGCAGUGGGACCGGGAUCUACCCUUGGUGCAUGAGCUGGCUUCUUGAGCCCAUUCCCUAUGGAGGGAUGACUUGUUCAACUUUGAUGCAGGGGAGAAGGGCUCGCUCCUGACUCAACUUAAUGUGCCAGGCUUCGCUGCCUCCCCGUGGGAGGCCUUACCCUUUCAGAGGAGUGCAAAUGUGGUGGAUUUGGGAGCAGCUGGGAUGGGGGGAGCAGGAGGACUGGUGGGAAGGGGAACUGUGGUUGGUAUGCAUGAUGAAUAAAAAAAUUAAAAAAG